rnacentral:rRNA from 1 species
UAAAACGUAGGGUGCAAGCGUUGUCCGGAAUUACUGGGUGUAAAGGGAGCGCAGGCGGACCGGCAAGUUGGAAGUGAAAACUAUGGGCUCAACCUAUGGAUUGCUUUCAAAACUGCUGGCCUUGAGUAGUGCAGAGGUAGGUGGAAUUCCCGGUGUAGCGGUGGAAUGCGUAGAUAUCGGGAGGAACACCAGUGGCGAAGGCGACCUACUGGGCACCAACUGACGCUGAGGCUCGAAAGCAUGGGUAGCAAACAGGAUUAGAUACCCUGGUAGUCCAUGCCGUAAACGAUGAUUACUAGGUGUUGGAGGAUUGACCCCUUCAGUGCCGCAGUUAACACAAUAAGUAAUCCACCUGGGGAGUACGACCGCAAGGUUG